CCUCUUCAGGUCGGCGUUCGCUUUCCGGCUUGGGUCAGGUUACCGGGGAGAAGCGAUGGGUUUCUCCCCCCUCCACCCGCCAGCCAAUCAGGAGGCUGGAAGGGCGCGUUUCAAAAAAGCAGUGCCUGCUGAAGACCAUAACUUUAACAGACUUACUGUACACCUUGAAGUCAUGAUACAAAUAACAUGAGAGAUAAAUUGCUAUGGAAGAACUUUGAAAACAAAUACCAACGAGAAACUGCUGGAUUCAAAUUCACCAGAGAUUCAGCUCUAUUUCCUGUUGUCUGAAUAAACACAAAGGUUGUCAAAUCACACUAGAUGUUCUAAUCUGGCCAGGAAUGCAACUAUGUCUGCAUGGACAUCCAACAAUUGUUUAGCAAAUGGGCGCUGUUAAGGAGGAUGUUAUUCCAGCUUGUCAAUGGUCGCAACUCAUGUUGGCUUAUGUGAUGUAACUUCGAUUGAAUUUACUGAGGUGGUCUGAAUAAAUAUGCACAAUAAUGGACUGUUCGCGCUUUAUGCUGCUGUUUG